rnacentral:misc_RNA from 1 species
CUCUCUGACUCUGAGAGUUGUUGUGGUGCCAUGGACGAUCUUCCUAUACAGAAGGUGGCAAUAUCGGGUCCCACAUUAGCCUCCAUGAUACAGCGAUUCUCCUCAUCUCUCGGCGACGUGGACGGCAUCCUAUUCGGCCAUGUCACCCACAUCACUCCCUCUACUCUUUCCGACGACUCUCCCCAAACUCACUCCGAUUCCGAUUCCCCUCAACUCGUGGCAACCGUCACUUCCUUCCUUUCCUCCAGCUCCCCUCUUUCCUUCUACGAUUCACUCGGCCGAGUCGACUCUCCUUCUCUCCAUCGAUUCCUAUCCUCCCAAACUCACAAUCAUUUCAUUGGCUGGUUCUCCGCCCGCCGCAAAACCCCUGUCCGCCCUUCAAUGCGCGAAUUUUCUGUCUCGCGCUCUCUGUCCAUCAACGAUCAACUCUCUUUCCCCAUCAAAAACUCUGAAAAUCCAAAAAAGCUCGCUCCUUGCAUUUUUCUCUUAUUCGCUACUCCCUUACAAGACCAAUUAAUUCACACGCACGAAUACCGUGCGUACCAGUUCCGUGUAUCGACACUGUCGUUUGAUCCCAAAUCGAUUGAUAUUGUGAAUAUAGGGCCGGCGUUCCGGGGGCAAUAUGGAUCUUUUUGUCCUAAUUCGCGGUUCCCGAUGUUGAAUUGUGAGUUAAGUAGCGUAUCGGCUAUGAAUGAGGAUAGACACGAGGAGAAUUUGAAUGAAAUUAAGCAGGUUUCCAAGGACCAGAGGGAGCUGGAUAUAUGUGCAGAGGAUUUUCAAGUUUCGAAUUUGAGCAGGUUGAUGGGAUCGGAGGCUUCGAAUCAUACUGCAGGUUUGGAGAAUUUGUAUGAGAAGAUGUUGGCCAAAAUUGACAGCUUGGCCAGACAAGUGGAGAAGAGCUCUGCUGACGUUCUUGAGCAGGAAACUCGUAAUAGGAAGUUAAGGUACAAAGUUGCCCGGACUGGACCAGAGUAACUGUUUCAUUCUUGCUUGUAUUUUUUAGGUUGCGUCAGGGAUGUGCCUCUCCACAAUUGAUGUAGUUGGAUAUUCAUGGCUACUUUUGAGGUGAAGGCAGGUCGAGAAUGGUGGAACUCCUGCUGAUACUAAUUGCAGUUGGGUAUUGUAGGUGGGUUUAAAGUUGCUUGAGAUGAUAUUCAUUUGCUUUGUUCUCCUUUCCCUCUUGAAAUUUCUCCUUAUAAAGUUGAAGAAGGUCUUGCCUGGCAGGAAAGAAAAUGGAAAUGGAAUCCAAUGAUUGCUUUGAUGUCACUGCUUCUGAAAUAUUAUCAUCUCCUUUAGUUGAAUUUCCAUGCGUGUUCUUAGACCGUAGGAGCAUUAUAUAUUUCUGAGGAUUUAAUCCAAAAUUGUUUAGAGUGGAGAAAAAGAGUUUAUAUAAUUGACUCUAAAUUUUUGGAAUAAAG